rnacentral:tRNA from 2 species
GGCAGGGUAGCUCAGUUGGUGAGAGCGCACGACUCAUAAUCGUGAGGUCGCGGGUUCAAGCCCCGCUCCUGCUACGA